rnacentral:rRNA from 1 species
UACGUAGGGACCAAGCGUUGUUCGGAUUUACUGGGCGUAAAGCGUGCGCAGGCGGUUUUGUAAGCCAGAUGUGAAAUCCCCGGGCUUAACCUGGGAAUGGCAUUUGGGACUGCAAGGCUUGAGUGCGGCAGAGGAGACUGGAAUUCCUGGUGUAGCAGUGAAAUGCGUAGAUAUCGGGAGGAACACCUGUGGCGAAAGCGGCGCACUGGACCACAACUGACGCUGAGGCGCGAAAGCUAGGGGAGCAAACAGG